UUUGGUUUUCUGUUCCUGUGUUAAUUUGCUGAGGAUAAUGGUUUCCAGCUUCAUCCAUGUGGACUAUUUUUUCAUCAUACUCUGCCCUUCCCAGGUCACACCUAGGGGGCUGAGGAGUGACAGGUGGAGCAGGGCAAGGCUGGAUUAAACAUUAAUGCAGCUGUCACCACUGCCCAGAGGAGCAAGUUCCCAGAGCCAAGCUGCAGAGCUACCCUAGUAUCCCCAGGCUGAGGAGGUGGUGAGUGGCAGACAUGGCUCAAUUUGUCCAGGUCCUGGCUGAAAUAGGUGACUUUGGUCGCUUCCAGAUACAACUGUUGAUACUGCUGUGUGUUCUCAACUUCCUGUCUCCCUUCUACUUUUUUGCCCAUGUCUUCAUGGUCCUAGAUGAGCCCCACCACUGUGCAGUGGCCUGGGUGAAGAACCACACUUUCAACCUGAGUGCUGCUGAACAGCUGGCACUGAGCGUGCCCCUGGACACUGCAGGCCACCCAGAGCCCUGCCUCAUGUUCCGGCCACCCGCUGCCAAUGCCAGCCUGCAGGAUAUCCUCAGCCACCACUUCAAUGAGACGCAGCCUUGUGAUAUGGGCUGGGAAUAUCCUGAGAACAGGCUCCCAUCCCUAAAGAAUGAGUUCAACCUGGUUUGUGAUCGGAAGCAUCUGAAGGACACCACACAGUCAGUGUUCAUGGCUGGGCUCCUUGUUGGCACCCUCAUGUUUGGGCCCCUCUGGGACCGGAUUGGCCGCAAGGCCACGAUCCUGGUGCAGCUCCUCCUCUUCACCCUCAUCGGCCUGGUCACAGCCUUUGUGCCCAGCUUUGAGCUCUACAUGGCCCUGCGCUUUGCUGUGGCUACUGCCAUCGCUGGAUUUGCCUUCAGCAAUGUCACCCUACUGACGGAGUGGGUGGGGCCCACAUGGAGGACGCAGGCCGUGGUCCUGGCCCAGUGCACCUUCUCCCUCGGGCAGAUGGUGCUCGCGGGACUCGCCUAUGGUUUCCGCAACUGGAGGCUCCUUCAGAUCACUGGCACUGCACCUGGCUUACUGCUCUUCUUCUACUUCUGGGCUCUGCCAGAAUCUGCACGGUGGCUCCUGACCCAUGGGAGGAUGGACGAGGCGAAACAACUGAUUCAGAGGGCAGCCUCGGCCAACAGGCGGAAACUCUCUCCGGAGCUCAUGAACCAGCUGGUCCCAGAGAAGACAGGCCCCUCAGGGAAUGCCCUGGAUCUGUUCAGACACCCCCAGCUCCGGAAGGUGACUCUGAUUAUCUUCUGUGUCUGGUUUGUGGACAGUCUGGGGUACUACGGCCUGAGCCUCCAAGUGGGGGACUUUGGCCUGGACAUCUAUCUGACGCAGCUCAUCUUUGGAGCCGUUGAGGUGCCUGCCCGCUGUUCCAGCAUCUUCAUGAUGCAGAGGUUUGGCCGCAAGUGGAGCCAGUUGGGGACCUUGGUCUUGGGUGGCUUUAUGUGUAUCAUCAUCAUCUUCAUCCCAGCAGAUCUGCCUGUGGUGGUCACUGUGCUGGCUGUGGUGGCGAAGAUGGCCACAGCUGCCGCGUUUACCAUCUCCUAUGUGUACUCUGCCGAGCUUUUCCCCACCAUCCUCCGGCAAACAGGCAUGGGGCUGGUGGGCAUCUUCUCACGGAUCGGGGGCAUCCUCGCACCACUAGUGAUUCUGCUGGGAGAGUACCAUGCUGCCCUCCCCAUGCUUAUCUACGGCAGCCUCCCCAUUGUGGCCGGCCUGCUCUGCACCCUGCUGCCAGAGACGCGUGGCCAGGCCCUGAAAGACACCCUCCAGGACCUGGAGCUGGGGCCUCACCCAUGGUCCCCCAAAUCAGUGCCCUCAGAGAAGGAAACAGAAGCCACAGGAAGAACUUCCAGCCCAGGAGUGACCUUUGUGAGCAGUACAUACUUCUGAUUGAGGUCUCUAAGAGCUGGACUGUCAGCAUCAGGGAGCUGCCUAAACACCUCCUUGGAUAUGGCCAGGACCCACAGGGACACAGGGCAAGACCAGCCUUGCUUAUGGAGGCAGCACACCACAACCUGGCCCAUGGCUGUCACCUCCUGCUGAGCCCAAUCCCGGAGGUAUGGCUCUCUUGAUCUCCUCAAUCUGGAGUCCCCUGCCCUCAAAACACAGUGAUGCUCAGAACAGAACACAAGGUAAGCCCUUUCCAAGUUGUGGGGACAGGAGGGGAGAGGAAACAAAUGUGAAGUUGUGGACUCUACCCAGGCAGGUGGAUAGAAAGGCUGUGGAAAAAGGGAAGGUUAUGGUUCCUUCUAAGGGAUGGAUCAGAUCCCUCUGGCUAAGGUAUGGCCCCAUAGGUCACUGGGUUGUACAGAGAGAAGAUUUCAGUUCAGCCUAAAUCAAAAUUUCUACCGUGGAUUCACUUCAAAGAUCGCCCAACCCCCCCCCACACACACACUCAGCUCAUGCCUAACCUAUGUGUGGCUCAGGGACCAGCUUGGGGAAGGAGAGGAGGUUUGUUCUGCUCCCCCCCUUACCCCACCUCCUCCUGCUCAUGCUCAGCUGCUUCUGGACCUUCCAGGGCCCAUGCAGGGUGAGGGAAAGGGCAGAGGUCUUUUCACCGAGCUGCUGCUGGUUGCAGUUCUUUGUGGUGCACAUUGGCUAAUGCCAGUUGGUGCAUUUUGUCAGGCUUCUGAAAGCUGCCUUUUCCACAGGGCAUCUUCAUGGGCUUCUCAGAGAUCCUCUCAGGCCUUGGUAUUUUUCCUUAGAAUGAGCAAUAUGCUCCCAAUGCACUCCCAGCUCCUCUUGGGACCCUUCUCCAGCCCCACCCAGCAUUGCUCCCACAACUUCUCCUACAGCUGGAAGCCCCGACCUUAGAAGAAGAUGGCCUUCUUGGCUGGGUGUGGUGGUUCACACACUUUGGGAGUCUGAGGCGGGCAGAUUACCUCAGGUUAGGAAUU